UAGCAUAUCAAUAAGCGGAGGAAAAGAAACUAACAAGGAUUCCCCUAGUAACUGCGAGUGAAGCGGGAAAAGCUCAAAUUUGAAAUCUGGCAGUCUUUUUUUUCUUCUUUGGCUGUCCGAGUUGUAAUCUAGAGAAGUGCUUACCUGCACUGGACCAUGUAUAAGUCUCCUGGAAUGGAGCGUCACAGAGGGUGAGAAUCCCGUCUUUGACAUGGACUGCCAGUGUGUUGUGGUGUGCUCUCAAAGAGUCGAGUUGUUUGGGAAUGCAGCUCUAAAUGGGUGGUAAACUCCAUCUAAAGCUAAAUAUUGGCGAGAGACCGAUAGUGAACAAGUACCGUGAGGGAAAGAUGAAAAGGACUUUGGAAAGAGAGUUAAACAGUAUGUGAAAUUGUUGAAAGGGAAACGCUUGAAGUCAGUUAUGUUGGCUAGGGAUCAACCUAGCUAUUUUUGCUGGGUGAAUUUUCUAGUCUGACAGGCCAACAUCAGUCUUGACUGCUGGAAAAGAGCAGAGGGAAUGUGGCACCUUUGGGUGUGUUAUAGCCCUUUGUCAUAUGUAGCAGUUGGGACUGAGGGAUGCAGCGUGCCGCGAGGCUGGGUUUCGACCACGUUCACGCUUAGGAUGUUGGCUUUUAAUGGCUUCAAUCGACCCGUCUUGAAACACGGACCAAGGAGUCUAACAUGCCUGCGAGUGUUUGGGUGGAAAACCCUUGCGCACAAUGAAAGUGAAAGUUGAGAUCCCUGUCAUGGGGAGCAUCGACGCCCGGACCUGAGCUUUUAGCAAUGGAUCCGCGGUAGAGCAUGCAUGUUGGGACCCGAAAGAUGGUGAACUAUGCCUGAAUAGGGCAAAGCCAGAGGAAACUCUGGUGGAGGCUCGUAGCGAUUCUGACGUGCAAAUCGAUCGUCAAAUUUGGGUAUAGGGGCGAAAGACUAAUCGAACCAUCUAGUAGCUGGGUUC
rnacentral:rRNA from 1 species